GACGAAGGGGGCUAGCGUUGUUCGGAAUUACUGGGCGUAAAGCGCGUGUAGGCGGUUGGUCAAGUCAGGUGUGAAAGCCUUGAGCUCAACUCAAGAAAUGCACUUGAUACUGGAUGACUAGAGGACCGGAGAGGAUAGUGGAAUUCCCGGUGUAGUGGUGAAAUACGUAGAGAUUGGGAAGAACACCAGUGGCGAAGGCGGCUAUCUGGACGGUUUCUGACGCUAAGACGCGAAAGCGUGGGGAGCAAACAGG
rnacentral:rRNA from 1 species